GAGAGCGGCGGACGGGUGAGUAAUGCCUAGGAAUCUGCCUGGUAGUGGGGGAUAACGCUCGGAAACGGACGCUAAUACCGCAUACGUCCUACGGGAGAAAGCAGGGGACCUUCGGGCCUUGCGCUAUCAGAUGAGCCUAGGUCGGAUUAGCUAGUUGGUGGGGUAAUGGCUCACCAAGGCGACGAUCCGUAACUGGUCUGAGAGGAUGAUCAGUCACACUGGAACUGAGACACGGUCCAGACUCCUACGGGAGGCAGCAGUGGGGAAUAUUGGACAAUGGGCGAAAGCCUGAUCCAGCCAUGCCGCGUGUGUGAAGAAGGUCUUCGGAUUGUAAAGCACUUUAAGUUGGGAGGAAGGGCAUUAACCUAAUACGUUAGUGUUUUGACGUUACCGACAGAAUAAGCACCGGCUAACUCUGUGCCAGCAGCCGCGGUAAUACAGAGGGUGCAAGCGUUAAUCGGAAUUACUGGGCGUAAAGCGCGCGUAGGUGGUUUGUUAAGUUGGAUGUGAAAGCCCCGGGCUCAACCUGGGAACUGCAUUCAAAACUGACAAGCUAGAGUAUGGUAGAGGGUGGUGGAAUUUCCUGUGUAGCGGUGAAAUGCGUAGAUAUAGGAAGGAACACCAGUGGCGAAGGCGACCACCUGGACUGAUACUGACACUGAGGUGCG
rnacentral:rRNA from 1 species